rnacentral:rRNA from 1 species
AGAGUUUGAUCAUGGCUCAGGAUGAACGCUGGCGGCGUGCUUACACAUGCAAGUCGAACGGAGAAAGGGUAGCUUGCUAUCUUUUCUUAGUGGCGGACGGGUGAGUAACGCGUGGGUAACCUACCCUUUGCAGGGGGAUAACAGCGAGAAAUCGUUGCUAAUACCGCAUAUAAAGUUUCUUUCGCAUGAAAGAAACUUAAAAGAUUUAUCGGCAAAGGAUGGACCCGCGUUGGAUUAGCUAGUUGGUGAGAUAACAGCCCACCAAGGCAACGAUCCAUAGCCGGCCUGAGAGGGUGAACGGCCACACUGGGACUGAGACACGGCCCAGACUCCUACGGGAGGCAGCAGUGGGGAAUAUUGCACAAUGGGCGAAAGCCUGAUGCAGCGACGCCGCGUGAAGGAUGAAGGUCUUCGGAUUGUAAACUUCUAUCAGCAGGGAAGAAAGGGCCUUAAGGUCUAUGACGGUACCUGACUAAGAAGCCCCGGCUAACUACGUGCCAGCAGCCGCGGUAAUACGUAGGGGGCAAGCGUUAUCCGGAUUUACUGGGUGUAAAGGGUGCGUAGGUGGUUAUGUAAGUUUGAUGUGAAACC